GGCGCUGUGGCUUAGUUGGCUAAAGCACCUUUCUAGUACACUGGGAUCCUGGGUCCAAAUCCCAGCAGUACCU
rnacentral:tRNA from 1 species